CCUACGGGGGGCUGCAGUGGGGAAUAUUGGACAAUGGGGGGAACCCUGAUCCAGCCAUGCCGCGUGUGUGAAGAAGGCCCUCGGGUUGUAAAGCACUUUCAGUGAGGAAGAACGCCUGGUGGUUAAUACCCAUCAGGAAAGACAUCACUCACAGAAGAAGCACCGGCUAACUCCGUGCCAGCAGCCGCGGUAAUACGGAGGGUGCGAGCGUUAAUCGGAAUUACUGGGCGUAAAGCGCGCGUAGGUGGCUUGAUAAGCCGGUUGUGAAAGCCCCGGGCUCAACCUGGGAACGGCAUCCGGAACUGUCAAGCUAGAGUGCAGGAGAGGAAGGUAGAAUUCCCGGUGUAGCGGUGAAAUGCGUAGAGAUCGGGAGGAAUACCAGUGGCGAAGGCGGCCUUCUGGACUGACACUGACACUGAGGUGCGAAAGCGUGGGUAGCAAGCAGGAUUAGAUACCCUGGCAGUC
rnacentral:rRNA from 1 species